UACGUAGGGGGCAAGCGUUGUCCGGAUUUAUUGGGCGUAAAGAGCGUGUAGGCGGUUCGGUAGGUCCGUUGUGAAAACUCGAGGCUCAACCUCGAGACGCCGAUGGAAACCAUCGAACUAGAGUCCGGAAGAGGAGAGUGGAAUUCCUGGUGUAGCGGUGAAAUGCGCAGAUAUCAGGAGGAACACCGGUGGCGAAGGCGGAUCUCUGGGCCGAUACUGACGCUGAGGAGCGAAAGCGUGGGGAGCGAACAGG
rnacentral:rRNA from 1 species